rnacentral:rRNA from 1 species
CAGCCGUAAACGAUGCGCGUUAGGUGUAUCGACGACCACGAGUCGUCGAGGUGCCGAAGGGAAACCGUGAAACGUGCCGCCUGGGAAGUACGGUCGCAAGGCUGAAACUUAAAGGAAUUGGCGGGGGGAGCACCACAACAGGUGGAGCCUGCGGUUUAAUUGGACUCAACGCCGGACAUCUCCACCGGAUAAGACAGCUGAAUGAUUGUCAAUCUGAAGGUUUUACAUGACUAGCUGAGAGGAGGUGCAUGGCGUCAGUGACU